UAGGGAAUCUUCGGCAGUGGACGAAAGUCUGACCGAGCAACGCCGCGUGAGUGAAGAAGGUUUUCGGAUCGUAAAACUCUGUUGGUAGAGAAGAACGUUGGUGAGAGUGGAAAGCUCAUCAAGUGACGGUAACUACCCAGAAAGGGACGGCUAACUACGUGUCAG
rnacentral:rRNA from 1 species